rnacentral:lncRNA from 1 species
UGGGUCGUUAUUAUUGAUGUCAAAUAUAUUUUAUUUUAAUACUCUUAAAACUUAUAUAUUGCACAAUUUUUUUAAUAAUUUUCAAUUUGCGAUGAUGACCUCAAUUUUGAGAAUAUAAGGCCAAAUAAAAAUAUAUGUGUGGUUCUAGUAACCCUACCGUCCCUACUUUUUCGGCUUAAAAAUAGCCUACCCUAAAGAUUUUAUUGUCAUUUUUCAUUAAGCACUGUUAAAGUCAGAAUGUUGCUCCCAUAGACUCAAUGUAAAAAAAAACCCAUAAAAUAAAAUAAAAUCCCUACCUACCUACCCUAACUUGUUUUCAGAUGUAACUGGAAC